CCUACGGGAGGCAGCAGUAGGGAAUAUUGCUCAAUGGGGGAAACCCUGAAGCAGCAACGCCGCGUGGAGGAUGAAGGUUUUAGGAUUGUAAACUUCUUUUGUUAGAGAAGAUUAUGACGGUAUCUAACGAAUAAGCACCGGCUAACUCCGUGCCAGCAGCCGCGGUAAUACGGAGGGUGCAAGCGUUACUCGGAAUCACUGGGCGUAAAGAGUGCGUAGGCGGGGUAAUAAGUCAGAUGUGAAAUCCUGUAGCUUAACUACAGAACUGCAUUUGAAACUGUUACUCUGGAGUGUGGGAGAGGUAGGUGGAAUUCUUGGUGUAGGGGUAAAAUGCGUAGAGAUCAAGAAGAAUACUCAUUGCGAAGGCGACCUGCUGGAACAUUACUGACGCUGAGGCACGAAAGCGUGGGGAGCAAACAGGAUUAGAUACCCGUGUAGUC
rnacentral:rRNA from 1 species